AAACAACUAGGAUAUGAUACCACUUGGAACAAGAUUUAGGCGACUACAGCGACUCAUUAAUUGUCCAUCAUUUUUUCUGUACUAAUAACUGAAUAAAUUUGAAUUGCGUUGCUGCUAAUUUGAGAAAGCACAUUAGAAAACAUGUAUCAGAUUGUAUACAAAUUAACCGUAGCAUGAAAUUACAAUUAGACAUCAUCAACUGAAGUUGAGCUUGCAUACUAUUGGUAGAAAACGGACAUCGUUACUAUUGAUUUAUUUUUGAUGAUCGAACUUUUGAAUUGACGAUCGACACCGUUGAUCAUGAUCUAGACCGCUUGAAGUAUCUAGAAAUCAAAUUAUAUAUUUUUUCGAUAUUAUUUUUUUGUGCAUCAAGUGAGCACUAAAUUGAACAACUGAAAAUAAAUAUAGUUUAAAAAGUGAUGAUAAAAUUUUUGUAAUUAAGAUCAAGAGUGUAGAUUCUGUUUUAAAUAGUUUAAAGAAUUUUCUAAUAAAAAUUCAACUAAUUUGAAUUCAUUUAUACCUUUAAACGAGCAAAUGCUUCGUAUCAAUCAUUAAAAUUAUAAAUUUAUAACCUUUUGAUAAUUAAGUAAAUAAUAUAAAAAAUAUAUAAAAUUUGAUUUAUAUAUAUUUUAAGUGAUUUAGAUUAUAUUCAAGGGUACACUCGUCAAUUUUAAAGCUCGAUCAUCGAAAAGAAAUUGAUAAUAAUAGAGUUUAUUUUCUAUUGAUAGUAUUUCAGCUCAAUUCUUAUCUAUUAACUUAUAUGAAUUCACGAUGUUUUUUGCCAUGUGGCAAGUUGUCCUUUACCUUCACCAUCAUUUGACCCUUUCUAUUCCCUUCAUCAAACUUUCAAUUAAUACAUCUAAACGUUACUAUUACCAAACUUUCAAUAACAAGAUGCCCUUCACUGCAUUUGACCCUUCCCUUUCCCUUCAUGAAACUUUCAAUUAAUAUAUGUAAUUAAUACAUCUAAAUAUUUUCAGUACCAAACUUUUCCUCCACCAGAUUUUUCAUUUCCAAUUAAUUCAUCAAUUCUCUCUUCCUCAUCUUUUUUCAUACACUAUCGCCUCUCUCCCCUCUCUCACUAAUGCGCGCCCAUGUUCCCCCCUCCGCCGCGGCCUAAGGGAUUGCCGUCAUUUUCACUAUCAUCAUCGCCGGAGAAGGAGUCGUCAGUUUCAUCCCUACUAGCAAUAGUGAGUGAUCUUUUGUGACUAUGGGAGGAAUACAAAAGAAUAUUUGAUGUUAUCUUAUUAUUAAUUACUUUUUAUAAUUUUUACGUGCUGUGAAGUGUGGGCUCCUUCUCUAGUUAACUAUUAUUUAUCAUAUCUUUCUAU
rnacentral:lncRNA from 1 species